rnacentral:tRNA from 1 species
GUGGGUAUGGUUCAGUUGGUUAGAGCGCCAGAUUGUGGCUCUGGAUAUCGUGGGUUCGAGUCCCACUACUCACCCCA